rnacentral:rRNA from 1 species
ACUUGACUCAGUAGGCCUCAAAUAAUGUGUGACUACCCCCUGA